rnacentral:rRNA from 1 species
CCUACGGGUGGCAGCAGUAGGGAAUCUUCCACAAUGGGCGAAAGCCUGAUGGAGCAACGCCGCGUGGGUGAAGAAGGUCUUCGGAUCGUAAAACCCUGUUGUUAGAGAAGAAAGUGCGUGAGAGUAACUGUUCACGUUUCGACGGUAUCUAACCAGAAAGCCACGGCUAACUACGUGCCAGCAGCCGCGGUAAUACGUAGGUGGCAAGCGUUAUCCGUAUUUAUUGGGCGUAAAGGGAACGCAGGCGGUCUUUUAAGUCUGAUGUGAAAGCCUUCGGCUUAACCGGAGUAGUGCAUUGGAAACUGGGAGCCUUGAGUGCAGAAGAGGACAGUGGAACUCCAUGUGUAGCGGUGAAAUGCGUAGAUAUAUGGAAGAACACCAGUGGCGAAGGCGGCUUUCUGGUCUGUAACUGACGCUGAGGUUCGAAAGCGUGGGUAGCAAACAGGAUUAGAUACCCCAGUAGUC